GGCUCCACUUCUUCCCAAGCACUCAGACUCCAACGCCGGAUUCGAUGAGUUCAACGGUGGGUCGUUCGCCGGAGCGGUUUUCAAUCUGUCGACGACCAUCGUCGGGGCCGGAAUCAUGGCUCUGCCGGCAACUAUGAAAGUGUUGGGCCUGGUGCCGGGGCUGGUGAUGAUUGUGUUGGUCGCUUUUCUUACUGAAAAGUCGAUCGACAUGCUCAUCCGAUUCAGCAGGGUGGCAAAGGCGGGGUCCUAUGGUGGGUUGAUGGGUGACGCCUUUGGCCGGGCCGGGAGGGUGCUGCUGCUUCUCUGCAUCGUGGUCAAUAAUUUUGGGGCUGCGAUCGUCUAUAUGAUUAUUAUCGGUGAUGUGGUGUCUGGGACAUCAUCAAGCGGUACACACCAUAUGGGUGUAUUAGAAGGAUGGUUUGGAGAGCACUGGUGGAAUGGCCGCUUCUCUGUUAUUCUCGCAACAACUCUGGUGGUGUUCGCUCCUUUAGCCUGCUACAAACGUGUUGAUUCAUUGAAAUACACAUCAGCACUAUCAGUCGGUCUAGCAGUAGUCUUUGUGGUCAUCACAGCUGGAAUUGCCAUAGUCAAACUGCUGAGUGGAAGCAUAGCGAUGCCCAAAUUGCUUCCACAUAUUUCCGACCUUACGUCUGUGUGGAAUCUCUUCACAGUGUCGCCUAUUCUCGUUUCUGCAUAUAUUUGUCACUACAACGUUCACACAAUUGACAAUGAGCUCGAGGAUCCCUCCCAAAUGAGACCGAUCGUGCGCACAUCAUUGACACUCUGCUCUAUUGUCUACGUGACCACAAGCUUUUUUGCCUUCCU
rnacentral:misc_RNA from 1 species